UAUUUACUGUAAAGGGUGGACUUUUUAAAGUGUUAAAUAUAUUUACCUUUUGUUUCAGGGUAGUCUAAAUAAGUUUUAAUUAUGUUCUCGAGAACUGUUUUUAAUAAAUUAUUUUAUUUUUUUGUGUCAAAACAUUGUUAUUUAUUUUAAGAGGUGAGAGUCUUUCGAUUCAGUUGAUAUCUAGUUCUUUUAAAAAAAUUAACAGAGGAGCUGUUAAUAUUUUUUAAAAAGAUUAAUAUAAAAUAAUUUAGGCUUUAAAGUAGCCAUAUUAGGAAGGUGUUUUUACCAAAUAAUCUAGCUAAAUUUGUUAACUUUUUUUAAAUAAAUUAUAAUUUAUGUUGUAUGUUCUAAUUAGUAGUAUAUUUAUAUAAGAAAAUAGGAACUAAGAAUUACAAGGGAUGUUUAACAAAAACAUUUCUCUAUAAAUAUAGAGUAAGACCUGCCCAGUGCUUAAGUAAACGGCUGCGGUAUACUAACUGUGCUAAGGUAGCAUAAUAAUUUGUGUUUUAAAUGGGUACUGGAAUAAACGGCCUCACAUUGUUGAUUUUUCUUUUUUUUAAAAAAUGAAUUUAGAGCGAAAGUAAAAAUACUUUUAUAAACUAAAAAGACGAUAAGACCCUAAAAGCUUUAUUUAAUUACCCGUAUAUUUAUAUACGGCAGGGUGGUUUAGUUUUAACUGGGGUAGUUUUACUUUUUUUAAGUUAAAUUAAUACUAACAGGUUUUCUGAACCUCUUAUAGAGGUUUUGUUUAAGUUACUUUAGGGAUAACAGCGUUAUAAAAUUAAAGAGACCUUAUCUCCAAUUUUGAUUGCGACCUCGAUGUUGAAUUAAUAAAUCCAAUAAGGGCAACCCCUUAUAAGGAGGGUUUGUUCAACCCUUAAUUUAUUACAUGAUUUGAGUUCAAACCGGUUUAAGCCAGGUUGGUUUCUAUCUUUUAGGGAAGGAGUUUUGUUUUAGUACGAAAGGACCAAAUAAAAUUUUAU
rnacentral:rRNA from 1 species